ACUGCCGGUGACAAACCGGAGGAAGGUGGGGAGUGACGUCAAGUCCUCAUGGCCCUUAUGGUAGGGCUUCACACGUCAUACAAUGGUCGGUACAGAGGGUUGCCAAGCCGCGAGGUGGAGCCAAUCCCUUAAAGCCGAUCGUAGUCCGGAUCGUAGUCUGCAACUCGACUACGUGAAGUCGGAAUCGCUAGUAAUCGCAGAUCAGCAUGCUGCGGUGAAUACGUUCCCGGGUCUU
rnacentral:rRNA from 1 species